rnacentral:rRNA from 1 species
UACGAAGGGGGCUAGCGUUGUUCGGAAUUACUGGGCGUAAAGCGCGCGCAGGCGGUCCUUCAAGUCAGAGGUGAAAGCCCAGAGCUUAACUCUGGAAUGGCCUUUGAGACUAGAGGACUUGGGUACGGGAGAGGUGAGUGGAAUUCCGAGUGUAGAGGUGAAAUUCGUAGAUAUUGGGAAGAACACCGGUGGCGAAGGCGGCUCACUGGCUCGUAACUGACGCUCAGGCGCGACAGCGUGGGGAUCAAACAGG